AUUGAACGCUAGCGGGAUGCUUUACACAUGCAAGUCGAACGGCAGCGCGGACUUCGGUCUGGCGGCGAGUGGCGAACGGGUGAGUAAUGUAUCGGAACGUGCCCAGUAGCGGGGGAUAACUACGCGAAAGCGUAGCUAAUACCGCAUACGCCCUACGGGGGAAAGCAGGGGAUCGUAAGACCUUGCACUCUUGGGGCGGUCGAUAUCGGGUUAGCUAGUUGGUGAGGUAACGGCUCACCAAGGCGACGAUCCGUAGCUGGUUUGAGAGGACGACCAGCCACACUGGGACUGAGACACGGCCCAGACUCCUACGGGAGGCAGCAGUGGGGAAUGUUGGACAAUGGGGGCAACCCUGAUCCAGCCAUCCCGCGUGUGAGAUGAAGGCCUUCGGGUUGUAAAGCACUUUUGGCAGGAAAGAAACGUCGCGGGCUAAUACCCCGUGGAACUGACGGUACCUGCAGAAUAAGCACCGGCUAACUACGUG
rnacentral:rRNA from 1 species